rnacentral:rRNA from 1 species
GACGAACGCUGGCGGCGUGCCUAACACAUGCAAGUCGAACGAAGUGGCGAACGGGUGAGUAACGCGUAAUCAACCUGCCCUUCAGUGGGGGACAACAGUUGGAAACGACUGCUAAUACCGCAUACUGAAGGAGUGGAUUGCGUUGGAUUAGCUAGUUGGAGGGGUAAGGGCCCACCAAGGCGAUGAUCCGUAGCCGGUCUGAGAGGGUGAUCGGCCACAUUGGGACUGAGACACGGCCCAGACUCCUACGGGAGGCAGCAGUGGGGAAUCUUCCGCAAUGGACGGAAGUCUGACGGAGCAACGCCGCGUGAGUGAUGACGGCCUUCGGGUUGUAAAGCUCUGUUGAUCGGGAAGCGGUACCGGAAUAGAAAGCCACGGCUAACUACGUGCCAGCAGCCGCGGUAAUUC